GGAAAGGAGGGGAGGGCAGGGGAGGUAAUGCGGUGGGGGUUGGGGGUGGUGGGAAGUAAUGGGCGUAAAGCGCACGUAGGCGGCUUUGGAAGUUAGAGGGGAAAGCCCGGGGCUCAACUCCGGAAUUGCCUUUAAGACUGCAUCGCUAGAAUUGUGGAGAGGUAAGUGGAAUUCCGAGUGUAGAGGUGAAAUUCGUAGAUAUUCGGAAGAACACCAGUGGCGAAGGCGACUUACUGGACACAUAUUGACGCUGAGGUGCGAAAGCGUGGGGAGCAAACAGGAUUAGAUACCCCUGUAGUC
rnacentral:rRNA from 1 species